AAGGCAGCGCUCUGCGGGCUCGGCAUGGCGCGACAGCCUCGUUCCUCGGCUCAGCGCAGGAGCAGUUUUAAUCGCUUCGAAAUGGCAAACCCACGCGUCCAUACCUCUUGUAGGUAAACACCCGAGCCCCGGAUGUCAAACACAACCGCGCUCCAGAGAGCGCAAGGCCACGUGGGGAAGGAGCGCCUGCUGUACUCGCAGCCUUCGGCUGAUGCUUGGAAGUGAGCUCUGAGUUCACUGAACGGCCGCCGUGUCCUGCUUGUUCCACAGAGAAUGGCGGGGCAGAUGUCGGCCUCCAGCCGAUGUCAGGGCAGCAGGCAGCGCGCUGCCUCACACUGCAGAGCUCCGCUGCACGUGCAGCACAGUGAGGUGCCAGCUCCUGGCUGCCCGCUGGAGUUGGGUACGGCUGCAUCUUGUGGUCAGCUGAGACUUUGGAGCAUACGACUGUAGUGAUGUUAACAGCACAGCCAAGACCACCGGUCUCGAUAAGGCACAGAGCUGUUAGCGAUCUUUGAAAAGAACUGUGUGUAAGGCUGAAGGCUCAGUACUUCGUAGCACUAGUGAAAGCAAGAUACCUCAUCUUAGGGCCACCUGGAAACAGGACUACAGGCCCCUGCAAACUUUAGCAUUGAAGACUUGUACCCUUGUUUUCUUUGUGCUUCUAGUGUCAGGCAGCAGUGGAGCAGGCGCCACGCGAAUCAGGUGUCUUUCUUUGGCACUGCCACUCCUGAUGCUGUAGUCUGCUCCCACCGGGAGGGGGGUGGUGCAGCGUGAAGGACCUUUCAACCUCUCUGAGCUAAUGUGGUACUGAGUAAAGAGUAAUCAAGCUUGCAAAUAAUUACUUAUUCCCAUUGAGAACAAACAGGAGUUUUGUUAUUAACUUCCAGAAACAAGCUUUUCUAGCGGGGCCAAAACAGCUCAACUGCAUUCAACAGAAUCUGCCAGUAUACCUGCUUUUGAUAAAAAUUGAUGUAUGCAGGUAAGAAAUUGACCAUAAAGCAUUAUUUUCCCUACCACUUGCAGCAACUUUAAUAUCCUAUAAUGGAAUCUGAACAUUGGACCUGUAGGCUUUUCCACAACUCUUUAGCACCAGCAAGUAACAUUUGUUUCCGCAGAGAAGCAGACAGUGACUUCUAAAAUGACUGCAGAAUGGGAAAUUGAAAGACUAUUGGAUAAAAUGAUUUAGAAAAUAAAAAGUGUAAUAAAAUGCACUGCAGAAGCAGAUAGCAAGGAAAGGGGAAUGAAUGAAUAAAUGAGGAUUCAAGAGCAAUCAGGAAUGCAUGUUUAUAAGGAUAUUAGUGAGUAGAUAGCCUAGAUUUAGUAAAGGGUGGGGGAGGAGGUCAGCAAUUUCUGCUCUGAUUUCUUGUGAUGUUGUAACAUCACAAGAAAGGUUCAGUCACAACAUCCAGUUAGCAUCAAUGUAUUGAUAAGGUGUUUCACCCUGUCCUGCUCAAAAGGCAGGGAGGCCUUGUUAAUAAGCAAUUCACUUUCUAAUAGUGUUUGAUGUGGAAAAAAAAAAAUAAAAUUCUUUGCAUUUCAUUAAGCUAUCUGCUCAUUUUAGCAUUUUAAUACCUGGAGAGUGGAAGAAGGGAUACAGGUCUGGCCCUUACUGCUAUUCACUGCUCUGACUGUUUUCCUUAUAGUCAUGGCCACUGCUGGGAACUUUCUGCUGAUCACAAGAUGCCCUUUUGACAGUGGGAACUACAGGCUGAACAGAGAUACUGCAUUAGGUGUCUGGCGUCGAGAUCGGGAUGUGACGUCAGGAGUAGGCAUUAACGAGGCGAUGUCGGGAUGUGGCGCGGCAGGACCUCCCCUGCUCUGUGAUGGAUGUCUGACGCAUGCUUUAGGGGCGUAGACGAAGCACAUAGGGUAUAUAAGCUAGAGCUCACUUGUAAUAAAUGCCAUUUUGCUGUUCACCAUAUUGGUGUGAAUGUCCAGUGAUCUGGCCCUGGCCCUGUCAUGGCCAGUAUCAUAGAUCCUUAACACUGCAUCCUUAUGAAUUGCAUGUUUGAGAAAAACCAACGUGCCUAUGAACUUAUGCAACUUAAAUUUUUAUGCAGUCAAAAUAUAGCAUUUAUUGAGGAUGUGCUCAGCCAAGUUUAUGUCUAUCAAUGGAAAUGACCAUUUCAUCUCUCCUCAGAAAUAAUGAACAUAGUAUACAAAGUUGUGGAUGUUUCUAUAUUUUAGCUUGCUCUCUGGAGAGACUUAAAUGUAAGUAAGAGGUAAUUUGUUGAUAUGUAUCUCUAUGGAAGAAAUGAAGACAGAGCUAAUCUGUGUAACAUAUGUUAGAAGAGAAAUUAUGGCAUAGUAAUACUUAUGUUAGAGUUUGAACUCCAUUUACCACUUCAUACAAGAAUAAUGCUUUCAUUUUGUAAUUCAUGUUAACUAAUUGAAGCUUUGCAGGCAUGUGAAAACAAGUCAUGAUUAAACCUGCAGUUUGCUGUGUAGUGUAUCCUUA